AUUGAACGCUGGCGGCAUGCCUUACACAUGCAAGUCGAACGGUAACGCGGGGCAACCUGGCGACGAGUGGCGAACGGGUGAGUAAUAUAUCGGAACGUGCCCAGUCGUGGGGGAUAACUGCUCGAAAGAGCAGCUAAUACCGCAUACGACCUGAGGGUGAAAGCGGGGGACCUUCGGACCUCGCGCGAUUGGAGCGGCCGAUAUCAGAUUAGGUAGUUGGUGGGGUAAAGGCCUACCAAGCCGACGAUCUGUAGCUGGUCUGAGAGGACGACCAGCCACACUGGGACUGAGACACGGCCCCAGACUCCUACGGGAGGCAGCAGUGGGGAAUAUUGGACAAUGGGCGCAAGCCUGAUCCAGCCAUACCGCGUGGGUGAAGAAGGCC
rnacentral:rRNA from 1 species